ACUCCUACGGGAGGCAGCAGUGGGGAAUAUUGCACAAUGGGGAACCGUAGCUGCAGCCAUGCCGCGUGUGUGAAGAAGGCCUUCGGGUUGUAAAGCACUUUCAGUAGGGAGGAAGGUAGUGUAGUUAACACCUGCAUUAUUUGACGUUACCUACAGAAGAAGCACCGGCUAACUCCGUGCCAGCAGCCGCGGUAAUACGGAGGGUGCGAGCGUUAAUCGGAAUUACUGGGCGUAAAGCGCAUGCAGGCGGCCUGUUAAGUCAGAUGUGAAAG
rnacentral:rRNA from 1 species